UCCCCCCAGCUGGGUAUUUAUUUGCUUUGCACAGAUCGGAGGGGAACCCGAGUCUGUGCCCGACCUUACGUGAGAGCAGACCCGGGAGGAAAUGUCUCCAUCGUCUUCACCCCGGGCGCAGAGGGAGGCGAGAUGAUCUACGAGCAAAUGUCGGAGGUCGGCGUGAUUGGACUGAAGAGGGGUUCGAUUAUAGCAGAUGCCGAGGUUUCGGCAACGUCACUCAAAGAGACACUCGUACAUGUGAGAAAAUGAAGGAGAGUUCAACAUCAACCAACGAAGUUGCCUGAAACAACCUUCUGACCUGAGCCUCAGUGAGCUGCAGAGCGGAGGCCAGGAGGAACCUCUCGGAUCCCACCAUGUACUGCUGCCGGGCGAACUCCUUCUCCAGCCGGGACA